GUUUAUUGUUUGCUUCAUGCCUCGAAUCGUCUCGUCGACUGCUCUGUUGUUUGGUGGAUGGCCGGGUCCUGCUCUGGGGGUCCUGUCGAAAAGGUUGCCAUGGCAAGGCAAUCAGUGGUUGCCUAUCGAUGGGCAAACAAAUUUUGUCCGUUAAGUGUCGCCCCAAAUAAAAUACCAAAUAAGUGCCACCAUUAAAAACGAGUUGGCAGUUUCAGCGAAUUGGAGGAUCUUUUCGGGAAAUUUUGACGUUGAACCUUAUUAUGAAAAAAAUCCAAUGAAAGGGAGUUCUGAAAACUAGCCAAUCUUUUAAAAAAUUGAUUCAUGAAUUGGAUAAAAUUAUAUGUUCAGUGCUGAGACUCAUAGCUGACUAGUAAUAUGAAGUCGAAUUUCAAAAUCGAGGAAUAUGAUUUCCGACCACGGACAGAGACCGAUUAGCCCAUUGUCGACCAGUGAAAGAUAUCGUGGUAAUAUUUUUUUUGUUAGUAAAGAG